rnacentral:tRNA from 1 species
AUUCNUUUAGUAUUAAUAAGUACAACUGACUUCCAAUCAGUUAGUUUUGGUCUAAUCCAAAAAAGAAUA